GGUCACGUUACGAAAGUAGCUCUUUAAUAAUUAUUAUUAUUAUUUUCCCUCGGUCUCUCAUUUAAAUUCUCGUAUAGGACCACUGAGGUGACGUCAUACCUCGGUGAUGGAACGUACUCCACCUAUCGAGAAUUAUUCGGGUUCUGAGAGAAUUUGACGUUUACCUUGGCGGAGAAACGCCUCUCGUUCUUUACUUGACUGUGAGCUGUGGUGUCGAAUAGAUAUACCAUAUAGAAUGGCGGAUGAUUUCCUCCAACUUAUUUUAUCACAUAAGAAAUUUAACGUAAAGUAAAAAGUUACCACCAGGGAUUGUCUGGAGUGAGGAGACAUGUGGGUGACAACUCCUGUUGGAGUAUAAAUAGGAAUCAUUCGCCAUUUGGGAGAAACCCUACCAUGAAGUCACAGACCUUAUUUGACCACCUAGAGAAACCACUACAGCCACAGUCAAGUCAUCAUGGGAAUACGUCUUUUUGGGAACAAGCUAUGGGAGCGUUCCAGCUCAAUUUUCAUCUUGGCACCUGGGCCUACAGGAGUCAUGGGGCCGCACCAUCCUGGUGCAUCAUUUUCUAGGAUGCAACCGCAACCUCGUUUGGGAACAUUCAGUGAGGUGUUUUAGUAACUAUUGGUUUUUUUAUAUUUCAGACUAUCUGUUAAAUACACUAUGUUUUUUUCCAGAUUUAGGUUACCUCUGGUUUUUUUUGACAUAUUUGUAUAUUAGAUUAUUUGGUUCCCAAACUUUGUAUCUACGGUAACUUCUUGUGCACAGGAAUAAGCCAGAGAAAAUUAGGUUUUUAAUACUUUAAUAUUGGUUUAUGUAAUUCGGGUAAAUUUAUUUUAUAAUAUUACUAGCUUGUUUCCCAAAUAUUUUACUGUUAUUCGCUUUAUUCCAUUUUGUUCGGUUAAUUUAGGUCAUCGUCGGUAUUCAUCUCAACUUCAUUUCUACUUUAGUCAAUUGUACAUUUAACUUUAUUUAUUCAUUAUUGUAUUUUCCCUUAGGGAGGCUUGGGCCUAUUUAUUUGUAGUAUUUUC
rnacentral:lncRNA from 1 species